AUAGAAAAAGGGAGUGAAUUUUCUAAGCUAUGUACAGAAGCUCAAACUUGUCAUACGUAUUGAAUUUUCUCCGAAUAAUGUGAUUACGCAAACCUGCACGUUCCGGAUUAUACAUUUGUGAUCCAAACUGAUUUUACAAAGUGUUUUUUGAGAUUAGAAAAAAAUGAGCCAAUUCAGCAAUUCUGACCUUGAAUUUGGAUUCAGCAAGUCAAAAUACAUAAAGGUAGACUAUUCUGGUCCGCCAAAACAACAUUAUAAGAAAAAAAUUUGUUUUGAGGUUACAAAAAAAUGAGUCAAUUCAGCAAUUCUGACCUUGAAUUUGGAUUUAACGGGUCAAAUUACAUAAUGGUAGACUAUUCUGGUCCGCCGGACCAACAUUAUAAGAAAUUUUUUUUGAGUUUAUGAAAAAAUUAGCCAAUUCAGCAAUUCUGACCUUGGAUUUAGAUUCAGCAAGUCAAAAUACGUAAGGAUUGACUGACUAGUCUGCUCCGCCGGACCAACAUAAAAAAAAAAUUUUUUUUGAUGUUAGAAAAUGCGAGCCAACUUUGCAAUUCUGACUUUGGAUUUGGAUUCAGCGAGUCGAAAUACAUAAGGAUUGACUAGUCUAGUCCGCCGGACCAACCACUUCUUUUUUGUGUGCCUGUGUUAUUAAACUUUCACAAAAACUUUGUACAAGUAUGACAUUUAAAACAGGUAAUUUUGGUGAUUUUAAUUACGUGUGCACACAUUUAAAGUAAAACUUAAAUCGAGAGAUAUUGCAACUUAUAGUGCAAGAUUGAGGCGCAGUUUUAACAACUUGUUGUGCCCCUGAUCACGGGACACUGUAUCGCUGCCGUAAAUUCCUCGGGGUCAGGUUCCAGAAAGAUAAUGCCGAUAGUGGUUUAAACAUUAUAUAUUUACUUUUAACUGAAUUACAAGUCUUUGUUACAUAUAAACCCGUAUCAAAUAAUACAAAAAAAUGUUAAGACAAGCGACAGAUUCGUCGCUGUACGAUAUACAAUUAAGCCCACUCAUAUUAUCUUUUCGCGGUGUUUAUAUACACCGAUUUUUGGCUUGUUAACGGGAAGAGUACUUCUGCGGUCACUAGCCUUGGGUCAGUGCACUCGCUUAGCCACCAAUUGCUGGCUACGUACUAUUGCGAGCAUAGUCUCGCGCACGUUGUGAGCGCGAGCUUUAGUCUGCGCUCCGGAAAAAUCAAUAUUAUCGAUCACCUCAGUCAGCUGUGUUCAGCGUUGACAGCAUCGGCAGGGAGAUUGUAAACAAAUAAAAGGACGGUUGUUGUUCUUAAGACGUCGUCUCGUGCGAACAUGCUCGGAAUAAUUGUACUUGCAUACGGUGCUACCAAUAAAAGUUUCUUGUUUGCUACAAACGUAUGCUUAUUUCACCGCGCUCGUAUGUGGGAGUGAGUGUGACACGAAGGCGUUUGAGCGUACUUUCCAUCCAAAAUCAGAGUGUUGUUUGUUUGGUAACCGGAUAUAUUGCCCGGUGCGACACCCGGUGUGAAAACCGGGCGGUGUUGCAUGCGCGAGGUGUCACUUAACACCUUUAUCGCUCAUGUUAUUCUCGAUGUGAGUGUUGUACACUCACAACAAACUUUAAGAUCGCUGUAAGCGCUAUAAAAUUAAUUUUUAUUUAUUUUUUGAAGUUUGAAUACAUGACUUAAAAAAAACCGAAAUAAAAAAAUCUUAAAUAACUGAUAUACAGGCGCAAAGAGGUAAAAUGGAAAACGAAAUAAAAAAUGCAAUCUAAGUGGUACUUAGAUGCUUUAAUUGUAAAAAAACGUUUUGUUUUUUCUUUGAAAAAUUAGAACAUUAGUUAUAACUUAAAUAUUAUAAUAUAAAUAUUUUUAAUUAUUUAGAAAAAAAAUUGAAUAAAAAUGCCUUGUGCAAUCUGGAUAAAGACAAUUCAUCCAAACAGGUAAACUAAUCAAAAACCAAAUAAGAAAUGAAAACUCAUUUGAAACUCAUAAAUUGUGCUAAGAGAGCCCUAUUCGGUUGAAUAUUUAAGCCUGUCCAAGUUUAUUCAGUUUUUAGAUAAAAUAAUGCGUAUCGGUUGAUGUAUCUUUAAACAAUACUCUAAAUUUAAUAUCAAGUUUACAUACGUAUAACUUUUUUAAGACUUUACCUUCAGAACAUAAACAAAACUUGUUUCUUCACAAUUAAAAAUAUCACUUAGACUGUGCAUUUUUAUUUUAUCUUUUAUUUUUAUAUUUUUGCGCCUGUACAUUAGUUAUUUAAGAUUUUUGUUUCGGUUUUCUUUAAGGGUGUAUCAGACAUACAAUCUUAGACAAAAGUGCAUAAAAUUUGAAAUACUUAAAUAUCUACGCUUAACGCAUAGUAAAGCUAGAUGUAAGAAACUUGAACAAUAGUUGGAGUCUUAUUUUUACUCUUACAAAGAUAUUUUUCACGUAUUUGCGAUUUUUUUCACUUAUGAGUUUAAACUUUUGACAGUAAAAAUGCACAAUCAUCUCAAGUUAUAUUUUAUUUCUUUAAAACGGUGUAGUGAAGACAAUUAGAACUUGGCAGAUAUUUUCUUCUAUUCAUAUACUAGAUGUACAAAAAAAAUUCAAAACACUGGUACCAUUUCUAUGUUUUUUUAGCUAUUUCAUCCGUCAAGAUUGUCUUUUUCCCUAAGAUAGAAAAGGAUACCAUGUAAAAUCAAUGAAAAUUAAAAUAGUUAUAAUUCAGCAACCGUUUAGUGGAUUCGUUUUCAAUUUUUUGCAGUACAUUAGGGAAACUAAAAAAAACAAUUUCACAAAUUUUUAGCAACUUUGUACCAUUUUGAAUUUCAGUCCGAUACACCCUUAACCCAUUAAUACCCAAGCGGACACAUUAUUAACAUAACUUUCAGUGACUUUAUUUGCAAUGUUAAAGAUCUAUAAAAAAUUUGAAAAGUAUUAUUCUUACGUAAAAUUUUGCGCUCUUUCAGAAUCCAUCGUUAGACUUUGUGUAAAAAAAGUCCAAAAAAAUUAUGAUGACUUUUAAGUCAAAAAAUGCAAAAAAAUCGCAAAAACUUUUUUCACAUCGAAUAUAAAACUCCAACUCUUUUCGCAACCAUCGAUGCAAAAUAGUUGUACUUAAAGGGUAUAUUUUUCAAAUUUGUCAAAAUUUUUAUUGAAAAAUGGCGGCUAAAUUGCAAAAAUUGACAAAUUGUAUUUUUCCAAAAUAAAUUUGUUCGAUCUACAAUUUUUGACAUCGGAUUCGUAAUUAGCAAUCACGAAAACCUUCAAAUACCCAAAUUCAAAUGAAUUAGCCCUUCUUUUAAAAAACUUCAGUCGCCAUAUUGGAUCCAUUAUUCUAAAUUUUUAGAUUUCAAAUUCAGAUUCAUAAUUAGCAACCUCAAAACUCGUAAAUAUCCAAUUUAAAAUAAAUUAGCUCUCUUUUUAAUAACUUGAUCCACCAAAUUAGGUCCGCCAUUUAAAAUUUUUUAAUUUGGAUUUCAAAUUUAUAAUUAACGAUCCAAAAAACUGAACAACAAAAGUUUGGUGAUUGGGAUGAAUCAAUAACAGAGUGGAUUACAACAAAUAUUCUCCAAAUAACUAAAUCCCAUGCAAAAUCUAGCACUUUGGAUGCCUCGUUGUCCGAAUUGAAACGCUGUUUUAAUAAAUGGUUUAAGAAAAUUAUGAGGAUUUUUAUGGAGACUAUUUCUGUGAAAUUUGAAUAAAUUCCGUGAGAGACAGAAAAGCAGCCUUAUAAACUCUUCUCCUUGUAAGGAAGUGCUGUACAUAUAACACGAAUGCAUGCACAAUUACCUAUAGUAAACUAAUACAAACAAUACCGUUCAUGAGUAUAUUACUGUGUGCAUUAAUACGCUGCAUGCAAGCUAAGUAAUGGAUGAUUAUGAUUGCAUUCCGAUAUUCACUGCUGAUACUAAAAAUCUAUAAUGUAAUAUAAACUAUAGAUUUCCAAUAUUGAUAAAUAUCGGAACGCAGCCUAUGACAACGACAAUCAUUCAAAGCAUUCUCUAGACUGUUACUUUUCUCUCUUACACAGACUUCAAUAAACAGACUGCUAAUUUCCUUAUAUACCGUGCCCAAAAGUUGUCUCCAAUGUUGUUACGUAUUAUAUGGCAAUCUUAAAGAUAUUAUGUAUUACAUGACGUGUCAUGUAAUAAUAUUGUUACGCGCGCGGCCUGGUAUACUCUUCGUCCGCGAGUCAGUUGUCGGAUCGGCGAUAUCGAUCGGCGGUGGCGGUCAGCUGUUGAAAGCCGGACAACGAGAGUAAAUAGAAAUAAAUAAACAGUUGUAAAGAGACAGCAAGCUAGAUCAGACGUGCUUGUAACCUUUUCAAUAAAGACGCUUGAUUACUUGAGUUAAAAAAGAGUGUCUCCUUUCUUUCCGCGGGCGCGCGCAUUACCUUUGGGGGCUCGUCCGGGAUCCGUUCGUCGGAUCCUGCGGAACGCGCGCGAGUUUUGACGGAAAGUGCGCGGAGUGAAAGUGUGUGAAAGGAAGUGAUGGAGAUCACGGGCUCUGCUGAGGAAAUGACAGAAAGACGUUCCCUACGCAUGCCGGCGAAAAAAAGGCGUGGCGAAACUCCGGGGCCUUCUUCGGGUGCAGCGGCGUGGAAAUUCUUGCUACUUUUGGAAGAGCUACGGCAGAUGCGAGAGGAACAAGCGCGACAGCAGCAGGAGUUCGGGGAGACAUUGCGGCGGCUGCAAUUUCCCUACGAUGGAAAACCAACUAAGUUCCUCUGAUAAUAUCCGUACGGCUAGAAAUGAGGGGGAAGGGGGCGCGUUACAAGAAAUCGCUGCGAGCGUAGAAGCAAGUGGAGAUACGCGGGCGACCGUCGGUCUUAAACUAAAACCCGAUACUUUUGACGGAAUGGUUCCGUUGCGUGAAUUUCUGACUCAAUUCUCUCUUAUCGCAAAUGCGAAUCGAUGGAGUAAGACAAAAAAGGCGGUGGUUAGCUUCUUGUUUACGGGGAAAAACGCGUUCGUUAUUAGAUUCUUGCGUCGAAAAUGAGGACUCUCUUUCUUUCGAGGAGCUUAAAUCAAAGCUAAAACUUCGUUUCGGGGAGGGCGAACUUUCGCAAAAUUAUUAUACUCAGUUUACGAAUCGGAAGCAGAGUCCGGGCGAGGAUUUUGCGACGCUGGACACGGAUCUGGAACAUCUUUCCCGAAAAGCGUAUCCCGAGUGUACGCAUAAAGUGCGCGAUAAAAUUGCUUCCUCGUAGUUCAUCGCUGCGUUAACGGACGGAUUUGUAAAACGUUCUCUUCAGAUGAAGGGAAUAACGUCCUUCAGGAUCGCAAUUAAGCAGGCAAAAACGCUUGAGUUCAUUAAUCGAAGUAGUCUUCCAGAAAAAAUAAACGAAAAUUUUCGCGCGGAACGCAGAAUUAAGGAUAACGUUUCAAAACAGAAAGACAAAGGAAAAGAAAAGACAAAUUUUAAGGGAACAAUUAAGAAUGAGGAGCGUAAAAACAAAAAGUGUUGGCAAUGUGGAGCGAUCGGGCAUUUCCGUGCGGAGUGUCCUGCCGCGGAAGACGGGAAACUAAGCUCUGUCGGAUUAAUCGAAACUGGCUCGGCAGACGGAGUUCGGACCCCGUUUCGCGCGCGUGACGGAGCCGUUCUUAUGCGUCGGCUCAGUGACAUCGUCGUGAACGUGCGCGAACGCUGUGCGUGAAUGGUUUUUUGAAUGACAAGCCAUAUUGUUUUAAAAUUGAUACAGACUCGGACGUGUCGGCUUUGAGCGCCAGAAUGGCAGCCUCUCUUAAACAAAAACGUAUUAAAUUUUGCGAUUUAAAAUAUCCCACCGAAAAAAAAGUCCCAGUAGUUUCUCAUGUUUCUGCCAUAGUUUUUCUGGGCAAAUUUUGCGUUAAUUUACUGUUAUGUUGCGGAAAUAAGCAACAAAUGUAUACUCAGAGUGGAUUUUCUCUUUGAGACAGGAAUUUUGGAUGGUUUGUUCAAAAAACGCCCUCGAUUUAACGGGUGGUGGGGUGGAAGAGCACGGGCAAAUUUGUUCUCAAAUUGAGGACUGCCCUGCUCGACUCUCCGGCCCUCUUUUGCCAUACUUGAGGAAAUUUCUCAGAAACUUGAAAUUUUUCAAAAACGGAUAUUUGUAAAUUUCUUGCUUAAAUUUUCGUAUGUUUUUUCUGAAAAUAUUGUUGCUGGAAAUUGUAAUGUUUUGUCUUAUGAUAUAUAAUUGUGUGAUUCUUGUCCCAUUAAGUAGGUACCUCGCCAAAUUCCCCUUCACUUGCAGGUGAAAAUAAAUAAAAUUCUUGAGGACAUGAAAGCACAAAAAGUUAUAGAGGAAUCGAAUAGUCCUUGGAUUUCUCCUGCAGGUAUAGUAAAAAAGAAGAAUGGAACGAUAAGAUUUUGUGUUAAUUAUCGGAGAUUAAAUGCUGUGACUAUAAAAGAUUCUUAUCCGCUGCCGAGAAUUGAUAAUAUUCUGGAUUGCUUAAGAGGAAAUUCGUUCUGUACAAUUAAUUUAAAAAGUGGAUAUUGACAGCUAAGCCUAGAUCCUAAGGAUUGCGAAAAAAACUUCUUCGAAACAAGAAGCAACUGAGGCGAGUCCGGCGGAAAUGUACCUUGGGCAAGAUCUUCGUCUGUCUUUGGAUCUUCUUAAGAAUUGUUCUCCUUCAAAUAGUAAUGGAGGAGAAAGAAGAGAGUAAUUUUAUUUUCAGACUCAGGGAUAAGCUCGAUUCUAUUCAUCGUUUUUCCCGACAACGUCUUCAAAUCAGUUCAAAGAACGCGAAAUUUUGGUAUGAUUGACGUACUAAGCAGAUGCUCUUCGAGCCAAGACAGAAGGUCUGGUUUUACAAUCCUCGAUGUAAACGUGUUGCAGGAAGAGCCCCGAAGCUGCAAAGUUCUUGGAAAGGACCCUGAAGAAUUAAGAAGAAACUUGCUGAUGUCUCAUACUGUAUAGAAAAAUCUUCUCGCUUUAAAAAUAAAAUUGUACAUGCAAACCGUUUAACUCCUUUUCAGAAAAGGGAUUAGUUUAGAAUCCUUUUAUUGAAACCGAUACUUUUAUUGAAACCGAGUCUGAGCCUGUACGCGUGCGAGUUAAAAGAGAAAGAUGUUUCGUUUAAAAAAUAAAGUCACUUGAUUUUUCUACGUUUGUUGUUUUAUGUUUUAUUUUAGUCACAUAAGAGGAAAGCUGGGUAGGAAAAGAAAAGAAAAGACAGAAUAAUGAUAAAAAACACUUAGGAUGAGUAAUCUGGCAAAUUUUUUUAUUGAUGACAUUUGUCUGUGGAAUGUUGUGUUGUGCAGACAUGGUUUCCAACACAUCUCCUGUAAUAGUGUUCAACGGUUUUGAGCGAAUUGACAUGGAUAGAUUUUUAAUGUGUUAACAUAAUUUAAUUAAAAUACACUUGAUAAGAAUCAGAAAUUGUCUGGCCAAAACGUUGUGUUGUUUUUUAAUUACAUCAAUAAAACAAUAUUUGCCAGAUUAGUCAUCCUAAGUGCUUUUAUUAUUAUUCUUUGAACAUUGGCAUAUUAACAAUACUAUUGAAAGACAGAAUUUUUCACUACUCCUUAAAAAACUGCCUUUCUCACGAUUUUUGACCGUGGUUUUUCCGUGAGACUUUGGGCGAAUGCUGAGGCAGGGGACAGAGAGCUUUUUAAGAUCGUUGGGUCCACAGGAGCUAUUCCCCUCUAAUCCCAAAGAAAGAAGAAAGAAGCACCCAAGACUCGGCGUAAUGAAGUAAGAAAAGCUCAAGGCUCAAGAUAGAAAAAGAGCACGGACAGCGGAGUACUGAAGUGGACGUGGCCCGGUAAGCCGCUGCAGCAGCACGGGGGGGGGGGGGAGGGCAGGAAAUUGUCCUGGAACCCUAUGAAGCCAACUUCGUAGAGCGUGUCGAGCUAUCUCCCUGAUUGUUGGGAUGACAAUCUUAAAGAGGGAGGGCAGUGUUACGUGUGCGGCCCGGUAUACUCUUCAUCCGCGAGUCAGUUGUCAGAUCGGCGAUAUCGAUCGGCGGCGGCGGUCAGCUGUUGAGAGUCGGGCAACGAGAGUAAAUAAAAAUAAAUAAACAGUAUAGAAAAACUUUAUAGAGAAACGGCGAGCUAGAUCAGACGUGGUUGUAACCUUUUCAAUAAAAACGCUUGAUUACUUGAGUUAAAAGAGGGUGUCUCCUUUCUUUCUGUGGGCGCGCGCGUUACAAUAUUAUGAAUGGAUUAGUGUACAUGGGUGUUGUCAUAUAAUACAUGCACAGGCGGUACAUGGGUGUUGUCAUAUAAUACAUGCACAGGCGGUACCCCACUGUUCUACACAUUCGCGAAAAAAUGUUGUACAUACUUUUCAAAGCCAUGUAUUUGGCAUAAGUUAGCAAUCUAUUUAUUAAAGUCUGUGGGAUUGCGCACCGCUAUAAUAUAUACCGGGAAAUGCUAAUGCCGACAAGACGCGUGUCAUCAUAAAACGAAAGAAAAGAGAUAAUAGCAUGCGCGUUAUGAAAGAGAAAAUGCUACAACUUUUUUUUUUCGUCCUGUCAGGUAUAUAAUAGAUCCCUUUGACUAAAGUUACUAGAUUACAAAGUAUCGCAAUUCAUAAGAUACAUGGGAAUCAAAAUGACGGCGAAAAGUGUAUAUAGUGUAUAGGUAGUGUAAGUCAUCUGUGCUUAAAAUGCAACUUAUCUAACCUUCUAUUGUACGUAAAAGUGACUUUAAUUGUACGGAAUCUUACAAAAUGCCAGGUUGCUGUGUAAACAAUUAUAAUAAUCACAGUGAAAGAGGGUUUAGAUUGUUUCGAGUACCAAACGGAAAGAAUACUGAGAGAAAACAAGAAUGGCUUAAAUUAAUAGGAAGAAACAUUGCCAGAAAGGGCUGAAAUCUGUGAGGUGCAUUUUAGUAAAGAUCAAUUCGAGAAGAAUAGAGCAGAUGAAAAAAAAUUGCUUUGUCCAUUUGCCAAACCCAAUUUAUUACAUGCAAUAGAAAAUGAUAAAGACACUGAAAUAAAAAAUAAAUAUAAAAAAGUAAAAUAUAUGAGUCUCAAUGAUGUUAAGAAUGUAGAUAAUUGUUGUAAAUUUUACAUAAUUCAAUAGUAUAACAUAAUUCAAUAAUACUUAAAUAUAUAAAAAAAGUAUAAAUAUGUUAAUUGUUCCGUUAUAUUAGCACAUAUAUUACUAUAAUUGAUACUGUCAUGUUAUUUGAAACAAAUAUUUGCGCAAUCAUUUGAGUGACAAUUCCUUCAGCAAUGUCAAUAACGGUGACAAUGUUAUUGCGGAGCCAGAAAUUAUAUCUGCAGAUCAUGAUGUCAAUCAAUCUGGGCAUUCUGUAACAACUGAUAUGAGAGAUAUAUCAAAUGAAAAAUUCGAUAAAAAAAUAAGAAAUUAUGAAGAACAAAUAAAAAAAUUAAAGAAAUUUUUAAAUAAAGUUGUGGUAAAAUGUAAUGCUUUAAAAAGAAAAUUGGGAAAGCAAAAUACAAGAUUUUAUAAAAUAUUUAAUGAAGAUCAGAGGGAGUUUAUCGCACAUGACACACACAAGGAAGCAUCAUGGUCUCCAGAUACAAUUAUAAAAGCAUUAAAACUUUAUGCCGCAUGUGGUCAAAAAGGUUAUAAAGAAAUACCUCAACAAAAUUUACCAUAUCCAAGUAUUCGCACUUUGCAAAGUCGUAUACAAGGCUUAAAAUUUAAGCCAGGUAUAUUCGAAGAUGUGUUCAAUAUGUUAAAAAUUAAAGUUAGUAUUCAUAAUUUUUAAUUAAGAUUCGAAUUUAUUGUCGUUUCUAAAAUCUCAAAAUUUAAGAAUUUCUUAAAAAGAUUUUAUUCAAUGAGAUGAUGCUAUGCAAUCAUUCCAUUG